AUUGAACGCUGGCGGCAUGCUUUACACAUGCAAGUCGAACGGUAACAGGCCGCAAGGUGCUGACGAGUGGCGAACGGGUGAGUAAUGCAUCGGAACGUGCCCAGUCGUGGGGGAUAACGCAGCGAAAGCUGCGCUAAUACCGCAUACGAUCUCUGGAUGAAAGCGGGGGACCGAAAGGCCUCGCGCGAUUGGAGCGGCCGAUGUCAGAUUAGGUAGUUGGUGGGGUAAAGGCCCACCAAGCCAACGAUCUGUAGCUGGUCUGAGAGGACGACCAGCCACACUGAGACUGAGACACGGCCCAGACUCCUACGGGAGGCAGCAGUGGGGAAUUUUGGACAAUGGGCGCAAGCCUGAUCCAGCAAUGCCGCGUGCAGGAAGAAGGCCUUCGGGUUGUAAACUGCUUUUGUACGGAACGAAACGGUCUGGGUUAAUACCCUGGGCUAAUGACGGUACCGUAAGAAUAAGCACCGGCUAACUACGUGCCAGCAGCCGCCGUAA
rnacentral:rRNA from 1 species